UACGUAGGGCGCAAGCGUUAUCCGGAAUUAUUGGGCGUAAAGAGCUCGUAGGCGGUUUGUCGCGUCUGCCGUGAAAGUCCGGGGCUUAACCCCGGAUCUGCGGUGGGUACGGGCAGACUUGAGUGAUGUAGGGGAGACUGGAAUUCCUGGUGUAGCGGUGAAAUGCGCAGAUAUCAGGAGGAACACCGAUGGCGAAGGCAGGUCUCUGGGCAUUAACUGACGCUGAGGAGCGAAAGCAUGGGAGCGAACAGG
rnacentral:rRNA from 1 species